rnacentral:rRNA from 1 species
AGCGGGACUUGUGUGUUGCACGAAGCAUUCUACUUGUAGAGUGUUUUGUGCAAAUACUUGUUCAGCGGCAGACGGCUGAGUAACACGUAGGAACCUACCCCAUGGUGGGGGAUAGCUCAUCGAAAGAUGGGAUAAUCCCGCAUGGUGCCCGAUUUUAUCGGGCUAAAGGGCGUAACUGCUCGCCAAGGGAGGGGCCUGCGGUCCAUCAGGUAGUUGGUAGGGUAAUGGCCUACCAAGCCUACGACGGAUAGCUGACCUUACGAGGGUGAACAGCCAGAGGAGCACUGAGACACGGGCUCCACGUCUACGGACGGCAGCAAUCAGGAAUCGUUGGCAAUGGGCGAAAGCCUGACCACGCGACGCCGCGUGCGGGAAGAAGCUAAUAUCUAGCUUAAACCGCUGUGGUAGGGGAAGAAGCCCCGACUAAGUCGGGGUUGACGGUACCCUACUAGAAAGUAGCCGCUAACUUCGUGCCAGAAGCGUCGGUAAUACGAGGGCUACAAGCGUUAUCCGGUGUAACUGGGCAUAAAGAGUAUGUAGGUGGUUUUUCAAGUCAUCUCUCAAAGAUCCCGACUUAAUCGGGAUAAGGGGGAUGAUACUGUUGAACUGGAGUUAUCUUUAGGGAAACUGGAAUUGAUGGAGGAGUAGUGAAAUGCGUUGAUACCAUCAAGAACAUCAGUGGCGAAGGCGGGUUUCUGGAAGAUAACUGACACUGAGAUACGAAAGCUAGGGGAGCGAACCGGAUUAGAGACCCGGGUAGUCCUAGCUGUAAACGAUGCUCGCUAAUUGCAUCCUCGACUUUUGUCGGGGGUGUGGUGAAGUUCAUACAUUAAGCGAGCCGCCUGGGAAGUACGACCGCAAGGUUGAAACUCAAAGGAAUUGGCGGGGAGACACACAACCAGUGGAGCAUGUGGUUUAAUUCGAUACAAAACGAAACACCCUCACCAAGGUUUGACAUCUAACUGCACGCCCGAUGAAAGUCGGGUUUCUUCGAGAGUGUUAGAACAGCUGCUGCAUGGCUGUCGUCAGUUCGUUCCGUGAGGAGUGCCAUUAAGUUGGACAACGAACGUAACCUCUGUCGUACGUUACAAGUGUCGUACGAGACUGCCUGCGCUUAGCGUGGGAGGAAGGAGGAGCAGACGUCAAGUCAGCAUGGCGCUUAUACCUUGGGCUACACACAUGCUACAAUGAGUCGUAACAAAGAGUUGCAAGCCGGUAACGGCAAGCUAAUCCCAAAAACCGGCUCUCAGUGGGGAUUGAGGUCUGAAAUUCGACCUCAUGAACGCGGAAUUGGUAGUAAUCGCGGGUCAGCUAUACCGCGGUGAAUACGUUCUUGUCUCUUGCACACACUGCCCGUCAAGCCAACAAAGUCCGGGAAUACCUGAAGGCCCCUCUGGGGACGAGGGUAAGUUCGGCGAUGGGGGUU